GAUCAAUGAUGAAUUCUAUUCCGAAACUGAGGACCUGAAGAAGAAAACAUGUUAUGGAUUCAACUUCUGAGAU